rnacentral:rRNA from 1 species
CCUACGGGAGGCUGCAGUGGGGAAUAUUGGACAAUGGGGGCAACCCUGAUCCAGCCAUGCCGCGUGUGUGAAGAAGGCCCUCGGGUUGUAAAGCACUUUCAGUGAGGAAGAACGCCUGGUGGUUAAUACCCAUCAGGAAAGACAUCACUCACAGAAGAAGCACCGGCUAACUCCGUGCCAGCAGCCGCGGUAAUACGGAGGGUGCGAGCGUUAAUCGGAAUUACUGGGCGUAAAGCGCGCGUAGGUGGCUUGAUAAGCCGGUUGUGAAAGCCCCGGGCUCAACCUGGGAACGGCAUCCGGAACUGUCAAGCUAGAGUGCAGGAGAGGAAGGUAGAAUUCCCGGUGUAGCGGUGAAAUGCGUAGAGAUCGGGAGGAAUACCAGUGGCGAAGGCGGCCUUCUGGACUGACACUGGCACUGAGGUGCGAAAGCGUGGGUAGCAAACAGGAUUAGAUACCCUAGUAGUC